GAUGAACGCUGGCGGCGUGCCUAAUACAUGCAAGUCGAGCGAAUGGAUUAAGAGCUUGCUCUUAUGAAGUUAGCGGCGGACGGGUGAGUAACGCGUGGGUAACCUGCCCAUAAGACUGGGAUAACUCCGGGAAACCGGGGCUAAUACCGGAUAACAUUUUGAACCGCAUGGUUCGAAAUUGAAAGGCGGCUUCGGCUGUCACUUAUGGAUGGACCCGCGUCGCAUUAGCUAGUUGGUGAGGUAACGGCUCACCAAGGCAACGAUGCGUAGCCGACCUGAGAGGGUGAUCGGCCACACUGGGACUGAGACACGGCCCAGACUCAUACGGGAGGCAGCAGUAGGGAAUCUUCCGCAAUGGACGAAAGUCUGACGGAGCAACGCCGCGUGAGUGAUGAAGGCUUUCGGGUCGUAAAACUCUGUUGUUAGGGAAGAACAAGUGCUAGUUGAAUAAGCUGACACCUUGACGGUACCUAACCAGAAAGCCACGGCUAACUACGUGCCAGCAGCCGCGGUAA
rnacentral:rRNA from 1 species